GGCCUGGCUGGAUGGUCCGCCUUCUGGGUGAGUACUGUCUGUGGUCGGGUCCUACCUUCUGGCGAAGCGUCAUGGCCUUAACCGGCCGUGGCGGGGAGCCAGGACUUUUACUGUGAAAAAAUUAGAGUGUUCAAAGCAGGCACGCGCUUGAAUACAUUAGCAUGGAAUAACGGAAUAGGACAGUGGUUCUAUUCGUUGGUUUCUAGGACCGUUGUA
rnacentral:rRNA from 1 species